rnacentral:rRNA from 1 species
CAGCAGCCACGGUAAUACGAAGGGUGCAAGCGUUACUCGGAAUUACUGGGCGUAAAGCGUGUGUAGGUGGUUGUUUAAGUCUGUCGUGAAAGCCAUGGGCUCAACCUGGGAAUUGCGAUGGAUACUGGGCGACUAGAGUGCGGUAGAGGAUAGUGGAAUUUCGGUGUAGCAGUGAAAUGCGUAGAGAUCGGAAGGAACAUCUGUGGCGAAGGCGACUAUCUGGGCCAACACUGACACUGAGACACGAAAGCGUGGGGAGCAAACAGGAUUAGAUACCCCUGUAGUCCCUGUCUCUUAUACA